AGGGCUUCCGCGUCCUGCAAGCCCAGGGCCACACGGGCCCACCCCAAAGUCCGUGCUGCUAAGGAGCCUGCGGUUCCUUGGGUGGUUCUCAAACUUGAGCUGCUUGGAACCCAGGGGUACACCGGUCGGGCCUGGUUCCUGACCCAGCGAAGGUCUGAGGGCGGGGGCUGGGCUUCCUACCGCCUCCAGGGGGCGCUCUGAGGCAGGUCCUCUUCAGUACCACCGAGUGCUGUAACUCAGUCCGUGCUAACCUGAGCUAGCGCUGAUCUAAUGAAUCAGCAUCUCCCAACACACCUGUGCGUUAGGGUGCAGCGAGCACCGUCAGGACGCCAGGAGCACCUGGCAAUGUUUUCUAAAAAGGACACCUCAGGAGUGUGUGCAAUCACUCUGUGGACAGGUUCUGGAUUGCCUCUGCAGCCCCUGCUGUCUGAGCCUUUGCAGCCCAGCCAAAGAGCACGGAUUGCCCAACUUUGCGCCGAGGAAGGGUAAGCAGCGCAGGGCACAGAGGCGGAAUCGGGAACUGGGUGACGGAAGGCCUCGUGAGGUUUCAUCAUCCCGGGAUCAAGGCUCACAUUCGCCCAGGCCUCACUCAUGCCAAGAGCACACCUUACAGGCUGGAAACCAAGGCCCCCGAGGUCACGGGGUGCACGCACCUGGGGAGCCGGCUGACUCAGGUGGUCUUGCUCCAGGGCGGUGUGACUUCCCCUCCAGGGCUGACCGAAGCCUCCAAGUUGAACUUGCAAUGCGCAGAUACUUUCUAAUUUCCAGAGGAAAAGGCAGGGUGGUAAGAAUGCCCAGCACAAGCUUGGCCCGGAUAGGGGCAUGGCCGGGUCACGGGCACCCCCUGCCGCUCACGUGGGACCCCCACCAAGUGUGUCCCUUGCUUCUCCAGUGACAGUGGCGCCUGUGGAGCUCAGGAGUCAGAUAGGGUGCAGGUGGCGCGCUGCCCCCAGUCCCUGGCCUGAGCCUCUUUUAGUCCAGUUGACAAAACACGACAUUCCUGCGUCAUCGUCAGCUUCCUGUGCGUGGUCCUCCCCGGGCCCUGCAGCCGCCUGUCAACGCUGCCUUCCAAAAUGAGCCCCGUUGGCCUGGCGCAGGCGGAAAGCUCCAGCCCUAGGCCCUACCUGGCCUGGUCUUGGGCCCUGGCUGACCACAGCUCAGCUUGGUUGGAAGUGCACACAGUAAGUGCUUCCGGGUGCUGGCUGCCCGCUCCCCCACACCCCAGCUCCACAUCCAGGUCCUCUGGGCUCUUGGACUCAACAGUGAUUGUGGGACAGCCACCGUGCUCCAUGCAUGGGCGGGGCUGAGGGGCUACUGUGCCUGCCCUGCCCAAUCCCGGGGGACACACGCAGGCGGCCUGGGUUUCUCUACCACCUCUGCAUCCUUCAGGGAGCACAGGGCUUCCUAGGUCCAACUGACAUCCCCAGGAGGGGGGCGUUUCAGGCCGGUCCCUGGGGUGCAGCCAGGAAGCUAAGGCUGAGCAUGGAAUGGCCCUCAGCUCUGGGCUCUC
rnacentral:lncRNA from 1 species